GAUGAACGCUGGCGGCGUGCCUAAUACAUGCAAGUCGAGCGAACAGACGAGGAGCUUGCUCCUCUGACGUUAGCGGCGGACGGGUGAGUAACACGUGGAUAACCUACCUAUAAGACUGGGAUAACUUCGGGAAACCGGAGCUAAUACCGGAUAAUAUAUUGAACCGCAUGGUUCAAGAGUGAAAGACGGUUUUGCUGUCCCUUAUAGAUGGAUCCGCGCCGCAUUAGCUAGUUGGUAAGGUAACGGCUUACCAAGGCAACGAUGCGUAGCCGACCUGAGAGGGUGAUCGGCCACACUGGAACUGAGACACGGUCCAGACUCCUACGGGAGGCAGCAGUAGGGAAUCUUCCGCAAUGGGCGAAAGCCUGACGGAGCAACGCCGCGUGAGUGAUGAAGGUCUUCGGAUCGUAAAACUCUGUUAUUAGGGAAGAACAAAUGUGUAAGUAACUAUGCACGUCUUGACGGUACCUAAUCAGAAAGCCACGGCUAACUACGUG
rnacentral:rRNA from 1 species